rnacentral:misc_RNA from 1 species
GACGAACCGUGCGAACGUUGUUCGGAAUCAUUGGGCUUAAAGGGCGCGUAGGCGGGCGAUCGAGUCAGAGGUGAAAUCCCCCAGCUCAACUGGGGAAGUGCCUCCGAUACUGAUCGUCUGGAGGAAGGUAGGGGCACGUGGAACUUCCGGUGGAGCGGUGAAAUGCGUAGAGAUCGGAAGGAACACCGGUGGCGAAGGCGACGUGCUGGACCUUUUCUGACGCUGAGGCGCGAAAGCCAGGGUAGCGAACGGG